AUCAGCAGCCAUAUCACUCUGCAACUCACAUCUGGCAACAAACUGAAGCUCAGCAGGUGUGAGCCUGGUCAGUACCUGGACGGGAGAUCUCCUGGGAAAAACUAAGGUUGUUGCUGGAA
rnacentral:rRNA from 1 species